rnacentral:misc_RNA from 1 species
GUAGGUGAACCUGCGGAAGGAUCAUUAACACGUUUUUAAAACAACGUUUGAUUUUUGAAUCAUCCAACCACACCAAACCGUGUCAUGUCUCAUUGGAUGGAAAAUGGACUCGUUCCAGUCCAAUCAAUGAGAUACACUCGACAUGACUGGAAUUUCCAAUUCUCGUCAUGUCUACUCACCCCUUUUUUCACCCCAUUUUAUUUGACUCACCCUACCAACCCCUAGCGGACUGAUCAAUUGUGUCGAUAUAUCGAGGACAGUGAAGAGAUGGAUUUUGUCCUUCUGUUCACCCCGUCGUCGAUCUAUGGACCGAACCAUAUGGAUGUUUCCAAAUGAGUUUAUCAAAUACAACUCUUAGCAAUGGAUAUCUUGGUUCUC